rnacentral:rRNA from 1 species
GACGAACGCUGGCGGCGUGCUUAACACAUGCAAGUCGAACGAAGAGCGAUGGAAGCUUGCUUCUAUCAAUCUUAGUGGCGAACGGGUGAGUAACGCGUAAUCAACCUGCCCUUCAGAGGGGGACAACAGUUGGAAACGACUGCUAAUACCGCAUACGAUCUAAUCUCGGCAUCGAGGAUAGAUGAAAGGUGGCCUCUACAUGUAAGCUAUCACUGAAGGAGGGGAUUGCGUCUGAUUAGCUAGUUGGAGGGGUAACGGCCCACCAAGGCGAUGAUCAGUAGCCGGUCUGAGAGGAUGAACGGCCACAUUGGGACUGAGACACGGCCCAGACUCCUACGGGAGGCAGCAGUGGGGAAUCUUCCGCAAUGGACGAAAGUCUGACGGAGCAACGCCGCGUGAGCGAUGACGGCCAUCGGGUUGUAAAGCUCUGUUAAUCGGGACGAAAGGCCUUCUUGCGAAUAGUGAGAAGGAUUGACGGUACCGGAAUAGAAAGCCACGGCUAACUACGUG